rnacentral:rRNA from 1 species
GACGAACGCUGGCGGCGUGCUUAACACAUGCAAGUCGAACGGAAAGGCCCUGCUUUUGUGGGGUGCUCGAGUGGCGAACGGGUGAGUAACACGCGAGUAACCUGCCCUUGACUUUGGGAUAACUUCAGGAAACUGGGGCUAAUACCGGAUAGGAGCUCCUGCUGCAUGGUGGGGGUUGGAAAGUUUCGGCGGUUGGGGAUGGACUCGCGGCUUAUCAGCUUGUUGGUGGGGUAGUGGCUUACCAAGGCUUUGACGGGUAGCCGGCCUGAGAGGGUGACCGGCCACAUUGGGACUGAGAUACGGCCCAGACUCCUACGGGAGGCAGCAGUGGGGAAUAUUGCAGAAUGGGCAGAAGCCUGAUGCAGAAACGCCGCGUGCGGGAUGACGGCCUUCGGGGUGUAAACCGCUUUCGCCUGUGACGAAGCGUGAGUGACGGUAAUGGGUAAAGAAGCCCCGGCUAACUACGUG